GGACCCGUAGUUCAGAUUGGUUAGAACGCCGGCCUGUCAAGCCGGAGGUCGCGAGUUCAAGUCUCGUCGGGUCCGCCA
rnacentral:tRNA from 1 species